AAUUUGCUUACAUUUAGAGCUGGUGACUUCUCACUGUUGUAGUGAACUGAAAUAAAAAAUGAGCCGUUCAGUCAUCUUUAUAUACAUGUAUAAAAAUAGGCAAGUAUAAACAUGGCCAUCCUAAAUCUAAGGCCCUAUACUUAUACUGAGACCCAUCUAAAGUAAAAUUUUUUUUCAAACAUAGAUAAUAUGAGGACUUUCCUUAUUAAUUCUUACUGUCAAACAAUACUUAAUUUAAUAUGGUUUUAUCCAGACAUGAGUCUAGCACGAUCUGUCUACCCUGAAUCUUCCUCUAUCGGAUAUAUACCGAUUUCAGCUCAAGUAGUAAAGUUUGUCACAAAGUACGGGCUCCCCACUCCUUACUCCUUCCCCAGACUGGGAUAUGCCUACCUUCAUAUUUGAACUCACCUGAUAUUUCAGCCUUCACUUUGGUGCUGAAGAAUAAAGCAUAUUAAGCUUUUGCCUGGGAGUUCCCACUGUGGCUCAGGGGGUUAAGAACCCAACAUAGUGUCCCUAAGGAUGCAGGCUCCAUUCGUGGCCCAGCUCAGUGGGUUAAGGUGGUAUUGCUCUAAGCUAUGGCAUAGGUUGCAGAUGUAGCUCAGUUCUGGUAUUGUUAUGGUUGUGGUAUAGGCUAGCAGCCACAGUUCCAAUUCAACCCCUAGCCCAGGAACUUUCAUAUUUCACAGGUGGGACCCUAAAAGGAAAAGAAAACAAAAAACUUUUGCCUGGGGAUUGCAGAGAGCCGAGAAAAUACAAGAAGGCAAGGAAGGGAGCUUGCCUGAACGGUACAAUUCCGAGGGUAGUCUCCUAAUCAGAAAAAGAGGCUUGCCUGAACCGUGCCGUUCCGAGGACAAGCUCCUAAUCAGGAAAAAGGACCUGUCUGAACGGUACAAUUCCGAGGGCAGGUUCCUAAACAAGGGGAUGCCUGCCUGUACAGCACAGUUCCGAGGACAGGCCCCAGAAUACAAUAAGGCUCGCCUGCUGACAUAGGUGGAAAACUAAAUUUCCCAGGAAAUAAUUUCCAUUUUGUGUUACUGAGUGGGGAUUGUUCCAUGGAUAACUCAGUCUUCUCUGUUAUUCACUGGCUAUUCAGUUUUUCUCAGUCUUUCCUGAUUAUUUACUUAUUAUUCUUAUUUCCCAUUCUUAUUGUCCUGUGGUGAUUUGUGACUUAACAAAAUUACAAUAGUAUAAUAAAAAUUUCGUCCUGAAGGACUGUUCCCCUAUUUAAAUCCAACUUAGUUAAAACAUAGUGUUUAUCUAUUAACUAGUUAUAUAGUAAAUUCUAGAGUUAGGAUUUUAAUGAGGUCCAUAGAAGUUAGCCAUAUCUUAUCCAAAAAACCUAGCAGUGGGUUUUGUCUUUGAUUUUAAAAGCCUUUUAGUGAUAGCUAGUUUAAUUAAGUUGGUUCAUAUUUACUUGCACUGUCUCCCUGCCAUAACGCUUUGAAGAUAAGCACCAGUCUACAAACAAAGUUUGUAAAUGCUAAAUUCUUGUGUUUUAUGGCCUCUUCAAAGUACUCACCAAGUUUAGUUAAGAUAGAGAUCUUAAAACAGGAUGCAUAGCUGCUAUACCAUGUAAUAGUUAACCAAUGUACUUUUAACACUGUAAUGUAGUCUAUAGUGAAAAACUGUCUAUAUAAUCAACCACUGUUGCCAAUAAAAUUUGAGCAGUCCAGCGCCCUAAAAGAAGGGACAAAGAGGCUGUCUCCAUAAUUGUACAUUCGCCGACGCCGCAUCCCUCUCUGAUGGGGAAGUGCAUGCUCCCUGGCCGCCAGAGCUGGCCUCUGGCAGGGGAUGAGCAGGUUCAGUAUCAUUUUUCUAAUAUCCCUGUACUAGGGUCUCAAUGUCAGGUCAUGCUGCCUUUUGCAUUGUCUCUUCCUGCCUAGGAGACAAUGCAAAUGUCUCUUUAUACUUUUAGUGACUAGAUCCUGCCCAGUUAGUGUGUGACUAGGAUGUGGUACCACAGCCCUGAUGUUCCAUGGCCGAGUCUUGCCCCCUUAACCCCUGGAUCAAGAGGAAAAACCUUUGCCUGAUAAAGACAUGCCCAUUUCAACCAUCUGCCAAACCAUUCUCUAUGCUGACCCAUCUCUGACUAGUCAGACUAAAGAUCUAUCUUUAUACCUGCUUGAUAUAGGUCUCUGGCCACCUGCCUAAAUGCCAUACUUUAUCUGUUUUCUUCCCCUGGCAUAAGACCCUGUUCCCAGGGGAGUACCUCUGGACAGCUCAUGGAUUCUUUUUUUUAAUUACUCAAUGAAUUUUAUUACAUUUAUAGUUGUACAACCAUUAUCAUGACCAAAUUUUAUAGGAUUUCCAUUCCAAACCCCCCAUGCAUCCCCCCACCCCCCAAACCAUAAGUUUUUCAAAGUCUGUGAGUUAGUAUCUGUUUCGCGAAUAAGUUCAUUGUGUCCUUUUUUUUUUUAGAUUCCACAUGUAAGUGAUAGCAUUUGAUGUUGGUGUCUCUCUGUCUGACUGACUUCACUUAGUAUGAUAAUUUCUAGGUCCAUCCAUGUUGCAAAAAAUGCUGUUAUUUCAUUCCUAAUGGCUGAGUAAUAUUCCAUUGUGUAUAUGUACCACAUCUUCUUUAUCCACUCCUCUGUCAAUGGACAUAGAGGUUGUUUCCAUGUCCUGACUAUUGUAUAGAGUACUACAAUGAACCGUGGAGUAUAUGUAUCUUUUUGAGUCACGGUUUUCUCUGGAUAGAUGCCCAGGAGUGGGAUUGCUGGAUCAAAUGGUAAUUCUGUUUUUAGUUUUCAGAGGCAUCUCCAUACUGUUUUCCACAGUGGUUGCACCAAUUUACAUUCCCACCAACAGUGUAAUAGGGUUCCCUUUUCUCCACACCCUCUCCAGCACUUAUUGUUUGUAGACUUUAUGAUGAUGGCCAUUCUGGCUGGUGUAAGGUGGUACCUCAUAGUGGUUUUGAUUUGCAUUUCUAUAACGAUGAGUGAUGCUGAACAUCUUCUCAUGUGUUUUUUGGCCAUCUAUAUGUCUUCUUUGGAGAAUUGUCUGUUUAGAUCUUUUGCCCAUCAUCUCAUAGAUUCAUCAAUCAUGUUUUGCUGCCCCCAAGACUAGUGAUGUGCUGUCCACACUAAGAGAGCGUGUAAGGUAUUAUUAAUCAUUGUUCUGGAAAAAUAAUUAUGCUGGAUGCCCAGGGCUGGGCAUUCUACAAAGGUCUGAGCCAAUGGUGAGCCCUAGACCAAAAACAGACAAACCAGAAGGAAAGGCCACUGAUCUGCGGGCUAGCCAGCAGCCUUGGAGGCUGGUUAAAAAAAUGAUUGGAGAGUUCCCAUUGUGGCUCAGCAGGUUAAAAACCCAACAUUGUCUCUGUGAGGAUGCAGGUUCAAUCCCUUACCUCCAUCAGUGGGUAAAGGGUCCAGAGUGUCCACAAGCUGAGGCACAGUUGCAGAUGUGGCUUGGAUCUGGUGUUGCUAGGGCUGUGGCAUAGGUCACAGUUGCAGCUCUGAUUCAACCUCUAGCCUGGGAACUUCCUUAUGCCAUAGGUGAGGUCAUAAAAAUAAUAAUAAUAAUAAAAAAAAAAGAUGAUGGAGCCAACAUCACAGUGUGGAAUUUAAAAUAACAUGUGUAGGAAAACUGCCAGUUAGUAGUGUGUGCUGCAGAUGAAAGACUGAAUCAGAGCUGAAGAAGCUAGGAUGAUCAAGAAGGCUGGUACGUGAAAAAUGGAGAAUCAGAUGAACAUCAGUAAAAGUCAAAGUUUGCCUGACCAAGAGCCCUGAGACCUGGCUGCACUGUCAGUUCCUGCAGCUGCCUCCCCACUCCCCAGACUCCCAUUUGAUUCAUACAAUGUUCUCUGUAUUGUUCCUGUUCAUGAAUUCCUUAUAAUCAAAGUUGCCUGACUAUGAACUUACAACCAUGCCUAUUCAACACUUCCUCUUAGACACCCAAGAUCAUGAACAGGACCAUGGCUCCCCAGUCUCUAUUCCUUCAUUUCCCCUGGACACCAAGUUUGCCUGCCUGAGACAUCUAUGAAAUCAGGUCCUCUUCUCCACUCGAGUUGAUGUUACGUGGUUCACUCCUCGGUAUGGUCUCUCCAUUUCAGGAGCUACCACCACCUCCAAAGUGCCCUCUCUGUUACUCAUCCACUCGACCUCCACAUAACUCAGUACUACUCAAUGAUAAAUAAUGUUCCUCUGGACAAGUAAUAUGAAAAGAAAGCAUAACAAGAAAAAAACAGAUUCUACUCAUCACAGCAACUAAAUCUCUAAGGUAUCCAGAAAUGAAUCUAACCCAACAUGAGCAAGAAGUGCAAGAGGAAAUAUACAAAAGAUUAAAAGACUUGAAUAAAUGAGAAACAGAACAUAUGCACAGAAAGGAUCAUUACUGUCAAGAUGUCAUACUCCCCAAAUUACCUAUACAUGCACUGCAAUUCUCAUCAAAAUUCCAGGAGUUCCUGCUGUGGCACAAUGGGAUCAGCAGCCUGUCUGCAGCACCAGGACACAGGUUCGAUCCCUGGCCUGGCCCAGUGGGUUAAAGGAUCUGGCAUUGCCUCAGCUGCAGCAUAGGUCACAACUGCAACUCAGAUCCGAUCCCUGGCCCAGACACUCCAUAUGAUGCGGGGCGGCCAGAAAAAGAAGGAAAAAAAUUCCAACAGGGUGUGUGUCUGCCUGUGUAUGACUUGACAAAUUAACUUCCAAACUUCUAUAGAAAACACAACGACCAAAAGUAGCCAAGAAAAUGUAUGAAGAGGAACUUGGGGAAACUUGCCCUACCAGAUAUCUAGAUUUAUUAUAAAGCUAUAUUGUCAAGACAGUGAAGUGCUGAUGGAAGGCUCUAAAAAGAAGCAAAGAAACACACUAGAGAACCCACAAACAAACACAUGCACACUGAAAAUUAGAUACCAACAGAAGAUGCAUCACAAACCACAGAAAAGGUGGAGUCAAAAACAGAACAGGAUUCCUACCUUAAAGACACUAAAAACAGCAAAUGUGAUUAAAGGUGACCGAGGACCUAAGUUGGAAAGGCAAGACUCUAAAACUAGUCAAAGAAAUAUAAAAGAGCAUGUUUACAAUCUUAGGAUGAGGAAGGAUUUUAAGGAGAUAGAAAAAGCACAGACUAUAACUGGAAAGAUGAAUAAAUUUGACCACAACAAAAUAUUAAACUUCUAUACCUCAAAAGAUGCCAUUAAAAAAGUGAAAAUGCAAGCCACAGACUGAAAAAUACAUGAGGGAUAGAAAGAUAGACAUAGAUUAGAUAGAUAGAUAGAUAGAUAGAUAGAUAGAUAGAUAGAUAGAUAGAUAGAUAGAUAGAUAGAUAGAUAGAUGAUAGAUAGAUAGUCAGACAGAUAAUCAUUGACGUUCCAUAUGUAGAAAAUAUAAAGAACUCCACAAAUCAUUAAGAAUUUUUUUUUCCAGUAGAAAAAUGGGAGGGAAUUUAUCAAGAGGAACUAGACUGGGCAAAUACUCCAAUGAAAAGAUGCUCAACCUCAUUAGU
rnacentral:lncRNA from 1 species